UAUGGUGUAACUCAGUGGUAAGGGAGCAUGCUUAGCAUGUUUGAGGCCCUGAGUUCAAUCCCCAACACCUAC
rnacentral:tRNA from 1 species